UACGUAGGGCGCGAGCGUUGUCCGGAAUUAUUGGGCGUAAAGAGCUCGUAGGCGGACUGGUGUGUCGGAUGUGAAAUCCCCAGGCUCAACCUGGGAACUGCAUUCGAAACUGCCAGCCUUGAGUGGUGGAGAGGAAGUGGAAUUCCUGGUGUAGAGGUGAAAUUCGUAGAUAUCAGGAGGAACACCAGUGGCGAAGGCGGCUUCCGUCGGACACCAAGUGACGCUGAGACGCGAAAGCGUGG
rnacentral:rRNA from 1 species